rnacentral:rRNA from 1 species
GAUGAACGCUAGCGACAGGCUUAACACAUGCAAGUCGAGGGGCAGCACAGGGCAGCAAUGUUUGGGUGGCGACCGGCGCACGGGUGCGUAACGCGUAUGCAACUAACCCAUCAGACCGGGAUAGCCCGGCGAAAGUCGGAUUAAUACCGGAUGCAACAGGGGUCUCGCAUGGGGCUUAUGUUAAAGGAUUAAUUGCUGAUGGACAGGCAUGCGUUCCAUUAGGUAGUUGGCAGGGUAACGGCCUACCAAGCCAUCGAUGGAUAGGGGUUCUGAGAGGAAGGUCCCCCACACUGGUACUGAGACACGGACCAGACUCCUACGGGAGGCAGCAGUGAGGAAUAUUGGUCAAUGGUCGCGAGACUGAACCAGCCAAGUCGCGUGCAGGAUGACGGCCCUAUGGGUUGUAAACUGCUUUUAGACAGGAAUAACGUGAGGUAUGUAUACUUCAGUGAAUGUACUGUCGGAAUAAGCAUCGGCUAACUCCGUGCCAGCAGCCGCGGUAAUACGGAGGAUGCGAGCGUUAUCCGGAUUUAUUGGGUUUAAAGGGUGCGUAGGUGGGAAAUUAAGUCAGUGGUGAAAGUUUGUCGCUCAACGAUAAAAUUGCCAUUGAAACUGGUUUUCUUGAGUAUGCUUGAAGUAGGCGGAAUGCGAGGUGUAGCGGUGAAAUGCAUAGAUAUCUCGCAGAACCCCGAUUGCGAAGGCAGCUUACUAAAUCAUGACUGACACUGAAGCACGAAAGCGUGGGUAUCAAACAGGAUUAGAUACCCUGGUAGUCCACGCAGUAAACGAUGAUUACCAGUUGUUUGCGAUACACAGUAAGCGACAAAGCGAAAGCGUUAAGUAAUCCACCUGGGGAGUACGCCGGCAACGGUGAAACUCAAAGGAAUUGACGGGGGCCCGCACAAGCGGAGGAACAUGUGGUUUAAUUCGAUGAUACGCGAGGAACCUUACCCGGGAUUGAAAUGCGCCUGAAUACGGAUGAAAGUUUGUAGUCCCGUGAGGGACAGGUGUGUAGGUGCUGCAUGGUUGUCGUCAGCUCGUGCCGUGAGGUGUCGGCUUAAGUGCCAUAACGAGCGCAACCCUGAUUGUCAGUUGCUAACGGGUAAUGCCGAGGACUCUGGCGAGACUGCCGGCGUAAGCUGUGAGGAAGGUUGGGAUGACGUCAAAUCAGCACGGCCCUUACAUCCGGGGCGACACACGUGUUACAAUGGUGGGGACAGUGGGCAGCUACUUAGUGAUAAGAUGCGAAUCUCCAAACCCCAUCUCAGUUCGGAUCGGAGUCUGCAACUCGACUCCGUGAAGCCGGAUUCGCUAGUAAUCGCGCAUCAGCCAUGGCGCGGUGAAUACGUUCCCGGGCCUUGUACACACCGCCCGUCAAGCCAUGGGAGCCGGGGGUACCUGAAGUAUGUAACCGUAAGGAGCGUCCUAGGGUAAAACUGGUGACUGGGGCU